GGGCCCGUAGCUCAGCUCGGUAGAGCGCCCGGCUCAUAUUCUAAUAGAACGGGAGACCGGGUGGUCCUGGGUUCGAAUCCCAGCGGGCCCA
rnacentral:tRNA from 1 species